GUGGGGAAUAUUGGACAAUGGGGGGAACCCUGAUCCAGCCAUGCCGCGUGUGUGAAGAAGGCCUUUUGGUUGUAAAGCACUUUAAGCGAGGAGGAGGCUUACCUGGUUAAUACCUGGGAUAAGUGGACGUUACUCGCAGAAUAAGCACCGGCUAACUCUGUGCCAGCAGCCGCGGUAAUACAGAGGGUGCAAGCGUUAAUCGGAUUUACUGGGCGUAAAGCGCGCGUAGGUGGCUAAUUAAGUCAAAUGUGAAAUCCCCGAGCUUAACUUGGGAAUUGCAUUCGAUACUGGUUAGCUAGAGUAUGGGAGAGGAUGGUAGAAUUCCAGGUGUAGCGGUGAAAUGCGUAGAGAUCUGGAGGAAUACCGAUGGCGAAGGCAGCCAUCUGGCCUAAUACUGACACUGAGGUGCGAAAGCAUGGGGAGCAAACAGG
rnacentral:rRNA from 1 species